rnacentral:rRNA from 1 species
AUGAACGCUGGCGGCGUGCCUAAUACAUGCAAGUCGAGCGAACGGACGAGAAGCUUGCUUCUCUGAUGUUAGCGGCGGACGGGUGAGUAACACGUGGAUAACCUACCUAUAAGACUGGGAUAACUUCGGGAAACCGGAGUUAAUACCGGAUAAUAUUUUGAACCGCAUGGUUCAAAAGUGAAAGACGGUCUUGCUGUCACUUAUAGAUGGAUCCGCGCUGCAUUAGCUAGUUGGUAAGGUAACGGCUUACCAAGGCAACGAUGCAUAGCCGACCUGAGAGGGUGAUCGGCCACACUGGAACUGAGACACGGUCCAGACUCCUACGGGAGGCAGCAGUAGGGAAUCUUCCGCAAUGGGCGAAAGCCUGACGGAGCAACGCCGCGUGAGUGAUGAAGGUCUUCGGAUCGUAAAACUCUGUUAUUAGGGAAGAACAUAUGUGUAAGUAACUGUGCACAUCUUGACGGUACCUAAUCAGAAAGCCACGGCUAACUACCUG